rnacentral:pre_miRNA from 1 species
ACUGUCGCGCCGUCGGAGCGUCCCGCUGAGGCCUGUCCGCAUCGGUGGUUGCUCAGCAGGGCGUCCCGGCGGUGCGGCUAGG